GUAAAACAAAUAUCUAAUAGAUUUGUCCUCUUCUUUUUUUCAUAGCUUGAAAUCGUUCUAUCACAUCGUCGUCUUUUACUUCACGUAAAAAAUCAUUUUCGACCGCACAAACCAUAGCAUUGUUCAAAAAUUCUGGGCCCAUUCGAUUGCGUAAAUCCGUCUUGACAAGCUUCAAUUUCGAAAAACUUCUUUCAACUGUUGUGGUUACAACCGGUAAAAGCAAAGCUAGCUUCACUACCCGAUAAACUGAAGGAAAAGAACUAUGCGUUCCUAUACCUGAGACGUAAUAUCAAUCGUAGAGUUUCCACACGAAAAGUGAUAAAAUUGACAUUAAAGAUCUCCAACCAAUUUUCACUUGUCGUAUACAAGCUGAAAAUUGAAACUUCCCAACAUGCUCAAUAAAUACGAUGUAACGACAGAUCUAGGAGUUCUUCGGAAGUUAACAAUCUUUUCCUCCAAAUCGAGUUAAGUCAUAAUCUAUUAAAUAAUAACGUAUAAAAGACAAUUAAGUCAUAGUUUAUGAAAUAAUAAAAUCGUAUAAAAGACAUUC
rnacentral:lncRNA from 1 species